rnacentral:rRNA from 1 species
GGGCCGCACGCGCGCUACACUGACAGGGCCAGCGAGUAACGCACCUUGGCCGAGAGGCCUGGGUAAUCUUGUGAAACUCUGUCGUGCUGGGGAUAGAGCAUUGCAAUUAUUGCUCUUCAACGAGGAAUGCCUAGUAGGCACAAGUCACCAGCUUGUGCCGAUUACGUCCCUGCCCUUUGUACACACCGCCCGUCGCUACUACCGAUUGAAUGGCUCAGUGAGGCCUUCGGACUGGCUCAGGGAGGUUGGCAACGACCGCCCAGAGCCGGAAAGUUGGUCAAACUUGGUCAUUUAGAGGAAGUAAAAGUCGUAACAAGGUUUCCGUAGGUGAACCUGCGGAAGGAUCAUUACUGAGUGAAGGGUCUUCUCUAAUGGGGCCCAUAUCUCCCCCACCCCGUGUCUACUGUACCAUGUUGCUUCGGCGGGGCCUUCCUCCCUUGACCGGUCAGGGAGCCCGCCGGAAGCCUUCUGUUUUAACUACUGUUGUGAACUAUAAUUACUGUCUGAGUGAGGGAUAAAUAGUUAAAAAAAAAAAACUUUCAACAAUGGAUCUCUUGGUUCCCGCAUCUAUGAAGAACGCAGCGAAAUGCGAUAAGUAAUAUGAAUUGCAGAAUUCCGGGAAUCAUCAAAUUUUUGAACGCAUAUUGCGCCCUUUGGUAUUCCAAGGGGCAUACCUGUCCGAGCGUCAUGGCCAAUCCUCCAAGAAAUUGGGUGUUGGAUCGUCGUCCCCUUAAUAAAUAGCCCGGGCGGGCCCAAUUAAUAGCCCGGGCGGGGACGGGUCCAAAAGGCAAUGGCGGUGCCGUUUUCGGUCCUAGAAGCACAAUGGGGCGUUGUCACCAGCUUCAGCGGACCUGAAUCGGUUGCUAGUCUUCCCUUGGGGGGGGCAUUAGCUCCCCUAAUUCUUCAAUCAGGUUGACCUCGGAUCAGGCAGGGAUACCCGCUGAACUUAAGCAUAUCAAUAAGCGGAGGAAAAGAAACCAACCGGGAUUGCCCCAGUAACGGCGAGUGAAGCGGCAAGAGCUCAAAUUUGAAAUCUGGCUCCUCUAUAGGGGGUCCGAGUUGUAAUUUGGAGAGGAUGCUUCGGGCUUUGGUCUCUAUCUAAGUGCCCUGGAAUGGGUCGUCAGAGAGGGUGAGAAUCCCGUCUGGGAUAGAUUACUAGGUCUAUGUGAAGCUCCUUCGACGAGUCGAGUUGUUUGGGAAUGCAGCUCUAAGUGGGUGGUAAAUUUCAUCUAAAGCUAAAUACGGGCUGGAGACCGAUAGUGCACAAGUAGAGUGAUCGAAAGAUGAAAAGCACUUUGAAAAGAGAGUCAAAAGCAUGUGAAAUUGUUGAAAGGGAAGCGCUUACGACCAGACUCAUAUGGGGAGGUUCAGGCGGCACGUGUGCCGGUGUGCUCCUGCCUAUGUGGGCCAGCGUCGGUCUGGAUGAUCGGUGAAAGGCCCCUGGAAUGUAGCGCCACCUUUGGGGGCGUAUUAUAGCCAAGGGCGCCAUGCGACCGUCCAGACCGAGGAACGCGCUUUGGCUCGGACGCUGGCGUAAUGGUCGUAAGCGGCCCGUCUUGAAACACGGACCAAGGAGUCUAACAUCUACGCGAGUGUUCGGGUGUUUAGCCCGUCCGCGCAGUGAAAGCGAAUGGAGAUGGGAAUAAAAUCUUUUUUUAUGCACCAUCGACCGAUCCUGAUGUUUUCGGAUGGAUUUGAGUAAGAGCGUAGCUGUUGGGACCCGAAAGAUGGUGAACUAUGCCUGAAUAGGGCGAAGCCAGAGGAAACUCUGGUGGAGGCUCGCAGCGGUUCUGACGUGCAAAUCGAUCGUCAAAUUUGGGUAUAGGGGCGAAAGACUAAUCGAACCG